GUCGAACGCUGGCGGCGUGCCUAAUACAUGCAAGUAGAACGCAGUUGCGAACGGGUGAGUAACGUGUAGGUAACUGCCUCAUAGCGGGGGAUAACUAUUGGAAACGAUAGCUAAUACCGCAUACUGUGAGAUGGACCUGCUUUGUAUUAGCUAGUUGGUGAGGUAAAGGCUCACCAAGGCGACGAUACAUAGCCGAGCUGAGAAGGGGAUCGGCCACACCUGGACUGAGGAAAAGGCCAGACUCCUACCGGAAGGAGCAGUAGGGGAACUUCGGCAAUGGACGGAAGGCUUAACGAGGAACGGCGGGGUAGGUGAGAAGGUUUUCGGAACGUUAAGCUCUGUUGGUAGGGGAGCGGUAACUAACCAGAAAGUGACGGCUAACUACGUGCCAGCAGCCGCGGUAAUAC
rnacentral:rRNA from 1 species